AGAAACACAGGCAGCGGAGACUGUGAACCCCAAGGUGUCUCUGUCACCGUUUGUGAGGCCGAGGAGCAAGAAUACCACCUGACCUUCAUGAGCCACAUGCCGGAGAGCACUCGUACUGGAAGGGACAUCAAGUCAAAGACUCCCUCUGCCCUAUUGUGAAAGGACCUUUCUGGUACUGCUGACCAGUUCCUGCCCAGCUAACCCUGGAGGCAUCUGCCCCUGGAUUCAUCUGUCCCAACGUCCAGGAGUCAGGGGACCUGAAAGGAACAGCCGCAAGCUCUCCAGCCACCAGGAGCGGAGGGCUAGCCCGGGUGUCGGACCAGGCCUCGACCACUGUCCUUCUUCUCUUUGAAAAUCGUGACAGCCAAAAAUGAACCAGACUCCUCCAUGUAAGUGUUGUUUUUCUAUCUGCUCUCUUCUGUUACUCCUUGGAAAGACUCGGAAAAACUAUACGCUCCCUCUUACGGACAACUGCCCAGGGAGACAACCUCUCAGACUGCUGAAUCAGCCUUCGCAAACUCUGAUGUGUCUGUGAUUUGGGGCACCCCUGGGCUUUCCUGUAGCCAGUUCUCCUUCAUAAACCACAUCCAAAUUCCCUUCAGUGUCAGCUUCUACUUCGCAGCCAGGCUUUCCCAGUGCCUUCUUGUUACCGUUCUCCAGUGAUACCAGUCCUUGACCAACAAGGUACAGAUACCCGUGUGCCCUAGAUAAGUCCACUGGCAUCACCAGGCUCUUAACGAUUUUCUAAAUCAGAUUCACCCCUCAUCACAAAGAAUUUUCACCAGAAGCAUCUGCUUUGACAAGGAAUUUAGAACAACUCUCUAUUUCAGACUAGGAGACUGACUUCCUGAAUGUGCCAAAAACCUAACCAAUCCCUGGCUGGACCGAGCAGACGUGGCGCUGACCCCCUGAGCAGGGCCGCUUCAGCCCGACAGCACUGAUCUUUGUCCGGGGCGGGGCGCUGAUCCUUCUCCUGGGGCCUCUGAGCACCCAGACUGGCAUAUAAGCAGUUCUCUCCCUCUGGUUCUGUCAGUGAACCCCAGCUCUCCGCAGCCAAACUGAGACACCUUAUUGGUCAGCUCCCCUGAAUUUACAUUAUCAGGUUAGAGGAGACCAGGAAGCAUUCAUAAUUCAGGAGUCGCUUCCUUUGGCUGAUCUCUACCUCGCUGAUUAGGGGUGCACGAACAGGCUAGGGCCCCAGACUUUGCUUUAACCCAUCGAACCACUGACAACUCAGGUGCUAAGGCUAUCGCUGCCCAGCAAGACUCCCGAGGUUCUCUGCCUAAACUUGUCUUGGAUGGCAGGCUAGCCCUCGAUUACCUCUUGGCAGUACAGGCUGUCUGUGCCACAGUCAGUCAAGAUGCAGACUUGGCUUAACACUUCCAGGGAAGUCAAGGUUCAGUUACAUUGUCUGAGAAAAAGCCACUGGUUACAAGUCCAGUUUGACUCAUCUUAGAAUUCUGAUUUAUUCAGCUGGUUCCCAAAAAGACCAGGCUUAUGGUUUAAAUCUAUACUACAAUUGGGUCUUUCUAGCCUACUUGUCAUUUUGUUUUAUGAUUCUUUAAAGUACUGAGUUGCCCAUCUGGCCUUUGUGAAAAUAACGAGCCUGACGCAUUUCAAAGCCUUGGGCAAGCAGCUGUCUGACAUCUACACCCUUGACAAGGUCUCCUUGCCUUGACCGUCCACUUUGACCCAAUAUAAGUUGCUCAGGAGUGGCCUUUUGCUUGCUACGAUUCCCAAAGCUGUUCUCACCCUGAAGGAAGGCAUGGUAAAGAAUAAAGAUACGAGUAUGAGUGAAGAAACAACACGGAUCAUCAAAAGGUGAAGUCCCUGCAAAAGACACUCAGCGUGUAUUGCAUGAUUGCUGCCCCUCACUCGAUACUGAAGGGGAAAUGUAGAACCAAACUAAAAUGGAGUCACUUAUGUCAAGGACAAAAUGGAGACCAUCAGUGCAGGCUCAUAAAGGAAAAUUAACCUAUCCUUACACAAGUUCUAGCUCUUCCCAGAAAUCAGAGGACACCAGCCAGUCUCCCAAAGCCAAUUCGGUUUAGUCGCUUUCUGAACUUUCCUGUCCCCUGAAAAUAUGCAUGGUUUGGUUUUUGGCCUUGCUGUUGUUCAGAUGGGGCCACUGAGAUCCCCUUUCCAGUUCCCUCCUCUGUGGCACAUGACAUGUGAAGAUGGUCUUCCCUCCAAGGGGCUUGUGCUCCAUCUAACAUCUUUGAUUACGGAAGGAAUAAAAGGGAAAACAAUGCCUAAACAACAUGGUUAUCGGUGAUGGUUUCUGCAAAAGAUCUUGAGCAAUAGUGGGGAAUGUGAAAGGAUUUCAAUCUUAAAUGAAAUCAGAGGCUAUGAAAUGAACAAUCUCACACAUGUCCCGUCCCCUCAGAAGAAUGGAACUUAAGAACUCAGAAAUUGAUUUUCCGUAAAUACGUAACUUACUUACAGAAGACUGAGACUGACUGCUUAACCAGAGAACUAUGCCAAGGAUCUUUUCCUGUCCUGCAGCCGGCGAAUUUGUUUAGACUCUGGUUGGACUUUUCCCUCUUCGCACACUUUGCAAAUCCAGCCUGCCCAAGCCCUCAACCGCUCACCUGUCGCUUGCUACAGCCUGCAUUUCUCAAAAUGCACUUCUUCUGCCACUCCCACAUGAACCCCAUUUCUGGCCGCUGGAGCCUGCCUCAGUUGACCUACUUAGUGAGGUGGUUCGCCAUCACUGGGAACAUUCCAGUUAGAUAAUCCACGUAAGUCAACCUGAAAGCAAGGUUUGCCAAACGCAUCAGAAUGGGUUACCCACCUUCAUGGGCAUGCGGAAGCCUGCAAAAGAUUUCACAAUUCCAGAAUAGCUUCAUUAAGAGAGUCAUGCAAAGGAUAAUGAAAAGUGAAGGCCACAAGAGGUACCCGAAACCAAGACCAUAACACUGAUGUGACUCUUCCUGAGCACUCAUGAUCCGCUCAUCCUCUGAAGUGUCUUUUCCCUCUGAAGAGACCACAUGACUGUCAACAAAAGUCUGCCCCGUUACUGGCCCCAAAGGUGGGCCUCCGAUGAGCCCUUCUCAUAGUUGACGGGACUCUGAGGGGUUUUCUGAUAACCUGUGACCAGUCAGUCCAUUAAACAGCCAACGGGAAACUAAAAUGGAAAUGAAUGGAGAGCCUUGCUCAAUUCUGAUAGAUUCCAGGGCUAUACGCUCUACUUUAUGCCUCACUUGCUUGAGACCCUGCAGGUGAGAGCCUGGGAAAAGCGGCAGAAGCUGGCAAAGGGCAGGAAUCCUGAUCGGAGUCCGCUUCCCUGACUUCUUACAACUCAAGUCUUUACAAGAACAGAAGCACAGCCAUUUAAAUGGAAGCAAUGCAGAGCCCACCUAGCAUUUUUAGCAAUCCUCAAAUCUCCACACCCACCCCCCCUCCUCCUGCCAUCACCUCAAAAGCUUUAUAAUUACUGUAAAAUUCUGGCCUCAGGAUAACAAAAUUCUGUCUUGAAGGAACUAGAGAUGUAAGUGUUCUAUCUGGUUUUCUCUAGAGUGUCCCUGGAAAAUCUCAAAGGAUUUGUUUCUCCCCUUACAAAAGAUGCUUCACUAAUUAGGUUUAUUUGCUACAUUAAAUUACAUGGGAAGCUUUGUCGUGUAAGUAAUAAAAACCUUCUUAGGUUAUUUUUAUAGACCAUGUUAUUCUUGAAAAUGUAUGAAGUUUCUAGAAAUCUGAUAUGUCCUGGUAUAAUGUUAUUCAUAAUUUCAGUUAUUAUCUUUAAAUGUUGUAUAUCACAGAAAUAAUCAAAUUUCCUUAUCAAUUUCAUUAUAAUGAACUCCAAUCAGAUCUGAGCAUUUUAAAGUGUUUUGUCAUUUAUAGCCACUUGAUUUUGCAGAACUGAGACUCGGGAAGGAAUCCUACCAAGAACUCCUGACCCCUGACACUGCUGCUCGAUUACAAGGUGCUGAACCCUGAUCGUCCGCCUCCUGGGCAGGAGUGAGCUCGAGCGAGCCUGCACUUUGGGACUUCUCCCUCACUCUCGCAGAUGUUGCAGAAUUGGCUUCUAGAACAAGACCUGCCUCAUGAAUUCCUAGGCUCUCUGCCCGAGCUGUUCUGACGCGUAGCCCCGGAGUGUCUCUCAGCUGAGGUGCUGCUGUGGCCAAACAGUGCCACUUGCUGAACUCGGACAGAUGCUUUCCAGGAAGCGAAGACUCAGUUAUCCAAGACCCCCGCACAUGGCAGUGGGCUUACGAAAGGGACUCCGUCGGUGGGGUCCUCCUCAGCAGUUGUUCCUCUGCUCUAACCACAGUCAUCCCACUCGCGCACGCUUUGCUCUCAAAAGCUUUAACUACAUGGUUGCAGCCGUUCACCACCCAGCAAGGGAUCUCCCUACGGACAGAACUUCAGAAAAGGAAUGAAGAGAAUGACCAGCUUAUAGAAUGAACCUGAUCUAGUGACCUGUGAGUACCACACAGAGAUUCAGCAAAACCUGUGAGAACUGAGUGUUAGCUACAAGUAACCCUAAUGCCUUAAGUUUUGAUCACAUCUCUUGGUGAGGCUAGGAGUCUGAAUAAAAGGAAGGAAUUGUUAAAAAUAAGAAAACAAGUCCAAAAUGGAGUCUCCGAUGCUAAGACCCACAUCACCAAACUGAGACCUCAACUUAAUUAGCAUCAGUUCUCCCAGAGUCAUAACCCAAUCAAAAAUGACCUUGCAAGAACCAGUCGAUUUUUUGCCUAGUAUAAAUCCGUGUUCCUGCUCCCUUCUGCCUAGAGAAGUCUCAUCUGGAACAGCUCCUUUCUAUCUGCUAGAGAUGCUGCCUGAGUCUUGAAUUACUGAAUAAAGCCUAUACAGUCUC